CUUAUAAUACAUGCAAAUAAAAGAAAUCCCAAUAUAAGAAACUAGGGCAUAUAAUAAAACAUCUCGAACCCUAAAUAUUUUCCAUUAUUUUCAUUUUGCAACUCUGUGAAGAAUUUUAUGUGGCGGCUUAUGAACACCUCCAUGUACUCUCUACGUGUUUGAACUGGAGCAAAAGGACUUGGGUUUUAUAUAUAGGUUCUCUUCUACAUGAUAAUGACACGCAAUUGAUGACUAUCUUACUUGGCGAGUCUUUUAUGAUAAAUGAUUAUCACCAUGAUAAAGGUUACUGCAUUUUAAUUAUACAGAUGCUAAAUCUGCAUUUUGAUGACAUUAAAAAGUGGUUGUGCAAAAAUCUAAAAAUAUGAUCAUUGAAUUCUCACUGUCAUAUAAUUGAUAUACUUAUGAUUCUUGGGGAAUAAUCCUUAUCACUUUUGUCCUAGACCUGUGCUUCUAAAAAUAAAUGUCUUUGUCUUUUGAAAUUAUAUUCACUGUUUAUUUGAUGAUCUGAGACAACCCUGAGUAACCUUUGAAAUCUGAUUUGUUGUGACUUUGACCUAUCAAGACAUCUCGAACUGCAUUCUAAGUUUACAAUACAUGCUGCUCUUGGGUGGCUAUUAUUACAAAAUAUACCUUAAUGCUUCAAAUGAUUUCAACUUUUCUUGUCACGGAUGCAUACUAAGAUAGUAUAUUCAAAUAUUGUGCUUUGUAAAUCUUUUAGUAAUGUGACAAUAUAUAGAAUGGCAACUUGUUUUAUUCUAACAAUCCCCUACUCCUGAAAACAUUGUGAUGUGAUCCUUGAACACUAUCAAAUGAGCUUUGAAUGUAUUUAUUGAUGAGUGAUGUCUUCUUAUGUGAUUCAUCUUUAAGUAUUAUUUCAUUGUUUGUAGCUGUGAGUUUUCUGUGAUCUGUAUUUGAUGAUCACAUAGUUACUCUUCAUAAAGGCUUCCAGUUGUUAAAAGGUUGUUACAUACAAGGUUUGUUGUCUUAUUGCAAUAAUUGUUAUACUACUGUUGGUAUACUAUCACCAUGCUUCAUGACUUCUCUCACUGCUAGCAUCUUGACAAAUUGUGGCUCUCUAACUAUAUUUUGAAUCAUUGUUGUAGGUCUGCUAUAAUAUUGUACUUUCUAUAGGUGGCAGUGUUAUCUUUGAAGCUUUGACUGUUUAAGAUUGUGUAUGGAAUUUAUUGUGCAAUGUAUUUGUAUCUUUAUUGAAGAUUUUUUUAUUUAUUACUCACUAUCUUUUGUGGCUCUUUACUAUUAUGCUCAUUUCUCCUUUCAUGUACAGUCACAAGGUCUUAUAACUUUGUUUGAUAUUCCUUGCCUUGACAUUCUGCUCUUUGAUAGUAAAGAAUGCUUUGUCUUUUCUUGAAUGUAAUAUUAAUAUGAAGAGCUUCUAUGAUUGGUUGGAUCCUAUGUAUGUUGAUCUCAUUAGGCAUCCCUUAUAACUGUCACAAACCUAUAAUUGACUGCUAAAACCCUUUUGUAUUGGUUGUGACAAUGAUCUUCCAUCAAAUAGUUGUUGCUAUGUGAUCUUUAUCUCUUGUCUUUGGUCUAUAUUGUGACUGCAAUGAUGCUUGAAACUUGGUACUAUCUUUAUGGUUUGAGACCAAUAUGUUGCUCACUGUUAUUUCUUAGCUUAUAAACAGUGACUUCAUAUCCUUACUGUGCCCUUCAUUCAUUGUUAUGGACUAUCAAUGAUCUGACUGGUCAUCCUUUUCUAUUUCUCACUGCCUUGACUGCAUGCUCCAUGAAAUGAUGAUGGAUAGGACUUUAUAUCUCUUAAUUACCCUCUAAACCACUGUUACUAUUGUGUAUGACUGUUUUUUGGCUUUAUGGAUUGUAUCCUGAAGGUUUUCACUGUAUGACUGAGAUUUUGGUAAUUCCAAGAUGCUUUAGUUGGACCAUGGUGGUAACCUACCAUGCUUCUAUAGUCUUCUAUGUGGUUGCAUUUAUGUUGUUGAUAUAUUGAUCUUCAUGAAAGAUGGCUUGAAAUUAUUCUCUAACAUGAAGCACUUUCUCUCUUUAAUACCACAUGAUUGAUCAGUUCUUGUGCCAUGGAAUGACUCUGUCUUUGAUACUGUAUGGUUGUACUUAUACUCAAUUUGUGGAUGUAUAUGAAUAUCAUAAGACUUAUCUUUUGAAUAACAGUGAUCUUCUAUAACUGCAUUUCAACUCUAUCACUGUAGCUCUUGAUAAUCUUUAUGUCUUGAUAUAUUCAUAUUUGCAUUAUCUAUCAUUGUUUGAGGAAUCUGAUGAUCAUAUCUGAUAACCUUAUAGUUUAUGACUUACUCUACCAUUGAACAAUUGUAUCUUUGUGUGUAUCAUUGUAUCACUAUCCUUUAAUGAAUAGUUUUGUCUUCUUGGCAGUGAAUAUAUAAAUGUAUCAUUAAUAUGUUCCUUAUCUAUCAAUGAUGAUUGUCCUUGUUAACUCUUGGCAUGACUGUGUAUACACUCUGAGAUAAAUGUUUCACUAUUUCUAAUCUGUCAUUAAGGGUUGCAACUGUCAUUUACAUGCUUUGAACAAAUUGAUCUGAGUUUAUGCCUUCUCAUAUCUAUGUCAAUAUGGAGUAUGAACUAGAGCAUGAUGAAGCUAUGUUUUGCAAUAAAACCAUUUGUGCCUUAUGUGACUCUCAUAGGCUUUGAAUUGGUACUUGGAUGCUUUAUGAGACUGCAAUCAACUUUAUUAUGACUCUGAUAUCUCUAUUAUUUGUCUUAUGAAGUUGUACAUGUUAUAUUUUUUCUCAUUUUGAUCACUCUUUCUUUCACAGUCACUUAUGUGAUGUCUCUAGUCAUAUGUUGACUAUUGAGUGCAGUUUUAUUCAUUGUUGCAUGUGUUGUCAUUGGAUGGCAGUUUAUACUAUCAUUGAGUGACAAUAUACGGGACUCUGGAUACUGUUGUAUUCUUUGUUUAACAAGAUAAUUAUUGUCACCUCGUGAGUGAUGACUAGUAUGUUGAGCUCAACCCUUGUGGGAGACCAUUUUAACCCACAUACUUGAUAGAUAUGAAAUGGAAACAUGUAUUAUACCUGCACAGUGAACAAAAAAGCUAGAUAAAACAUGAUACUUGUUUCUAUCUCAUGGCACCAUCUCUGCAUUGAUUCCUUUUCUUCUGAAUCCGAUAUCCUGAUAGUCGUAGACAUAUAUUUAUGUAUUCUUAUGCAGAUAAACUAUGUAUUGUGAUUGAUAAACAAUGUGAAAGUGUGGCUAUCCUCAUUGCUCUAACAUAUUUUUCAAAUCUCUUGCAAGUACUGAUGGGAUGGAAGCGAAAGAAAUCAAAGAUGGACAAGUAGAUGAAGAUCCAACCACUCCUUCAAUCUCAGGCUCGUCAUUCCAGGAAAUGACGAGCCACCCUACUGUCAUUCUCAUUCUUUCAUUUGUUUAUAUAAUUUAGUUGUGUAACCGUAUGAGAAUGUAUGUCUAUAGCUUAGUCAGCUAUUCCAACGGCUUGUGUGGGACACCUUACACAUUUCUUGUAAUACAAAAGCUAUUUCUAUGCAA